rnacentral:rRNA from 1 species
UACAGAGGGGGCAAGCGUUGUUCGGAAUUACUGGGCGUAAAGGGCGCGUAGGUGGCCUCCUAAGUCGAACGUGAAAUCCCUGGGCUCAACCCAGGAACUGCGUCCGAGACUGGGAGGCUUGAAUCCGGGAGAGGGAUGCGGAAUUCCAGGUGUAGCGGUGAAAUGCGUAGAUAUCUGGAGGAACACCGGUGGCGAAGGCGGCCACCUGGACGGUCACUGACGCUGAGACGCGAAAGCGUGGGUAGCAAACAGG